ACCGGUGAGGGUGCCGUUUGCUUGUGUGAAACGGUACGUGGAAUGUCUUUGUCUCAAGUGGGCCAUUUUUGGUAAGCAGAACUGGCGAUGCGGGAUGAACCGAGAGUUGAGCUAAGGUGCCUAAGGACACGUUGAUAGAUACCACAAAAGGAGUCGGUCGAUAAAGACAGCAGGGCGGUGGCCCUGAAAGUAGGAAUCCGCUAAGGAGUGUCUAAAAACUCACCUGCCGAAUCGACCGGCCCUGAAAAUGGAUGGCGCUGAAGCGUGUCACCGAUGCUUGACCUUUACUACGAGAGAUGUUAGUAGAGGGUAGAAGGGCGCGGCGGUAGCAACAAAGUACAAAGUGUAAACUUGUAUGGAGCUGCCGUCGGUGUAGAUCUUGGUGGUAGUAGCAAUUAUAAAAGUGAAAACCUUUUAGGCCGAAGUGGAGAAGGGUUCCACGUGAACAGCAGUUGGACGUGGGUUAGUCGGUCCUAAGCGGUUGCCUAACGGCUAUUUCAACGCCAACUUAUGGUUGCGCUUGCGUGACAUAUUGUAGGUUGGAAUCCGCGAAAGGGAAUCAGGUUAAUAUUCCUGAACCGGGCGAUGGAGACGCUGCCUUUUGGCGCUGCUUGCACUUGUGUGGGUGGUGUUGAGGGUAGCUUAGCGGUAACGCAAACAAUCUCGGAGACGUUGACAUCUAUGGCGGAGAGAAUUAUCUUUUCUGUAUAACAGGUAGAGUACCUUGGAAUCGAGUCAUUCGGAGAUAAGGUAAAAAGCCUGGAA
rnacentral:rRNA from 1 species